rnacentral:lncRNA from 1 species
UUUGGUGACAUAUUAAAAUGUUUGCACACCACUUACCUGGUGUAAAGGGCUUGGGACAUGUCAAUCUCCAGUCAGCAUCCUCUGUUCACUCACCCUUCCCAAGAUCUGUGCCACAAACACACACACGCACACACACACUAUACAAUACAUCCACACACAUAAUACACAACCACAACACACAUAUAACACAUGUACAGACCACAUACCCUGCACAAUACACCCCCCAUAUGCAACCCAUAUACACAGCAUGCACACAUACUACACACACCAACACACACUUAUACACGUACACCAUGCACACAACACACACGCACAUGACACAAUACACACCAUACACAACACACCACGUACACACAUACCACACAUAUGCACACAACACACACACCUUACACACCACACAUAAUACAUACAACACACACACCACACACAAUAUAUACAACACACAACAUACACACACACCACGCAUACACACACUGUGCCCAGCACACACAAUAUACACAACAAACACACAUGCACACCACACACGUGUACCACACACAUGCACACAUACUGUGGUCAUCCUUGCCUCCAACUCAUCCCCAUCCUGUUCCCCUCUCACCUGGUCACCUUACCUGGCCUUCACCUUAGAUCCGCCUCUUGCCCACUCUGUAAGCUCCCCC